AGUUCCUCUCACUCCUUUAACAAUCUGGUGACCCUUUCUUCCUACAUACCAAAACUUGAAAAACUAUGUCUACCUCCAAGAGCAGAAGCUUAAAAAAUUGUACUUCCAAGAAGUGUUCUUAAAAUCCAGUUUGUCAUCAGACACCUGAAAUGUGGUCUGUUCUUACAGGUGGAAAAAUUGUGGCAGGGAUUGUGUUUUGGGGUCUUGAACUCUAAUUUAAUGCAAUUAAAUCCAGGAUGCAUAUCUAGUAUUUUAUCUUGAGCACCACUGACAUCUUCCUUUUUAGAAAGCUCCGGGGCUGCAGCUUUUUAUUUCAUCACAACUAUUCUGUUAGAAUGUUAUCUGGCAGCUUAUUUUCAGUACCUUGCUCAGUGGUACAAAGGUCAUUUUAUGCUAAUGUUCUAGUAGAAAUGGAGGAUAUUAAACUAGCGGCUGUUGCUUCUGAGAAGGACUUGGCUUUGUUCACCAAUUAUUUUUAUGCACAAUUCCUUUAAAUGAUAUUCCAGAAAUAUUAAAAAUGACUUUUUUCCAGUCAUGGCCACUUAUAUGAAAAUCUACACUAGCUAAAGGGGAUAUGUAGGGAUUUAUAGAAUUUACAACUUAAGACAACAGAAACUGUGUGCAUGCAUAUAAACUCUCUAUAUAGUAUGCAUGCAUAUCAUCAGCUUAAAUAUUUUUGUAUUUUAUUUGAACUAAAAGAAAAUGCUGAUAUCCUGUUUCCAGGAUUUUGCUUACAUGAUAUGAUAUUAUAAUGCUUAUAAAUAGGCAGAAUGGCAGAAGAUGUGGUGAAGGAGAAGUAGACAAAUAUUGGCUACGGCAAACAUAGGUCUUGGCUGAAGCCUACUUAGAAAGGGCACUCUUCCCUACACUGUUUCAGCAGGGAAAUGAAUGUAAAUAGUUCUAUAUUAAAGGAACUGAGAUGAGGGCUUUGCAAGCAAGUUAGAUCCACAUCAUCAUGUAUGUACUUCCAACUGUCUUCAAAUUUUAUACCUAUCUUAUUCUAGUCAGAUUAAAUAAUACACAUUUAAAAUAUGCUGAUUUUUUAAAAUAUUUUUAAAAAUUUAAACCAAAUAAGAGAUUUUUCACUGUGGAUGCAUGUGUUUAUGAUGUUCUGCAUUUCCAGAACCAAAUAAAUUGCUACAGAAGACUCUGAAAAUAACAUAAAUCAGUGGAAGUCAAGGAAUGAAAAGAGUAGAAAGCAAAACUCUGGCCCAAUGACAAUUUUUAGAAUUAUGAAGCAGCACAUGCUAAUUUGCUGCAUCAAGCAUAUGACUUUUUUGGUUUUGCAGCUUUAUUUUAUCCCCUUUAUUCAAACUGUAUGUUAGACGUGUAAUUUUACUGAGCUGCAUGUGCAGCAGUUAUAUCCUCAUAAUGAAGAUGGGGCUGGGACAAAAUCUAAUGGGAUAGAGAUACCAACAAGCUCAGAUAUCAUGGUAAUAAGCAUGGCAUGAAACCCAGACAGAAUAGAAUAGAAAUAAUCUUCACUAAAUGCAGUAUAAGAAAGUUUUUGAAAAAAAGAUUUCUGCUAAAAUGUUGCUGCUUAACCAAGAAAUUGAUACCCAAUUUGGAAAGCGUUAACGUCAUACUAGAAUGCUAAAAUAACUAGUUAAAUCUUUUAUGGAGAGAGCACUACUAGAGAGAAAUUGCAAAUCAUUCAAGCUCUCAUUUUUUACUAUAUACAAAACCCCAGAACUAAGUUGGUUAUUUUAACUCCUCUUAUUAUUUGCUCAGAUAUCUAGUAUAAAAAGGGGUUCUAAACUCCUAGUCUGUCUUCAUUUGGUUUAAUUCAUAUAGGAAGGAACUUUUGUGGCUUGCCAUGUAGACUUCUUAACUGUUUUACUUUGCAAACAUUUUUCUUUUUUUAUACAUCCUCUGUACUCUUCUGAAGUAAAAGAAAAUUCUGACUAUGAAAUAAAUCUCUACUAUUCUUACAGUU